AGUGAACGCUGGCGGUAGGCCUAACACAUGCCAGUCGAACGGCAGCACAGUAAGAGCCUGCUCUUACGGGUGGCGAGUGGCGGACGGGUGAGGAAUACAUCGGAAUCUACUUUUUCGUGGGGGAUAACGUAGGGAAACUUACGCUAAUACCGCAUACGACCUACGGGUGAAAGCAGGGGAUCUUCGGACCUUGCGCGAUUGAAUGAGCCGAUGUCGGAUUAGCUAGUUGGCGGGGUAAAGGCCCACCAAGGCGACGAUCCGUAGCUGGUCUGAGAGGAUGAUCAGCCACACUGGAACUGAGACACGGUCCAGACUCCUACGGGAGGCAGCAGUGGGGAAUAUUGGACAAUGGGCGCAAGCCUGAUCCAGCCAUACCGCGUGGGUGAAGAAGGCCUUCGGGUUGUAAAGCCUUUUUGUUGGGAAAGAAAAGCAGCAGGUUAAUACCCCGCUGUUCUGACGGUACCCAAAGAAUAAGCACCGGCUAACUUCGUG
rnacentral:rRNA from 1 species